rnacentral:piRNA from 1 species
UGCCUUUUGCUGGGGAGAAAAUGG